UUUCACUGGAAAAACAACCUACAGGUUCAAAUCAGUGUGAGGAUCUUAGAGAUACCUCAAAGGAUCACCCUCCUUGCCACCUUUCCUGCUAUCAAACCGCCACUGAUCUCGAAGCCCAUCGCCUCACGACCCGACCUGCUGCUGUACAACAAUGCUCAUAUUCACAGCCUUCAGCCAGCAAAUUGCCUCUCUCAUUCCUCACCACACCCUCUGCACUCAGCCACCUGCAAAACGAACCCUGCUGGAAAUUUCACUACAAAUUACCCUGUGUCUGCUCAAUCCCCCUGGGAGAAGAAAAACCCCUGUUCUCUCCAGAGCCCACAGUAACCGUGCUUAUCAAACACACGUAUAGUAAUUUACAAUAAAUCAGCACCUGGAUUAAAGCUACAAUAUAUGCACCUUGAGCUUUGGGUGCUUAAAAUAAUGUAUAUGUAUGUGUGUGUAUGUUUAUAUAACCUAAAUGUAUGCAUUCCCAUAAACCAAGCCUGAAAUUGCUAUGUGCAUGCUAUGUGAAAGUUUCAAGGGACAAAUGAAAGCAAUACCUAAGGCGUACUGUAAAUAACAAUCUUCUACAUGGAAUGCUUUCUUUUUUUCUUUCUUUUUUUUCUGCAACUUUAGGAUAAGACUGCCCUCUGGUGGAUUUCGCUCACAAAACCAUCAGACUGUACAUAUAGGGUGAUCUAUACAUGCAGACAAAUGAGUUUGAGGCAGAACUGCCAGGAAGAUGAGUGUUGAAAGCUCCUUGGAAAAAGGAUUAGGGCUGUUUUAUGGUCACAUGGCAUUUUGUCAACUGCAGAAGUGAGGAAAGUAUUUAAAGCCACAGUGCCCGAAUCUCCUGUUUAUUUAUUUAUUUAUUUAUUUAUUUAUUUAUUUAUUUAUUUAUUUAUUUAUUUUUAUGCUUCAGAUUGACUGAUUUGUCCCACAAGUACAUAACAUUGAGCUUUAGAAAACAAUGCACUUUUCUACAAACACACAACACACACAAAUGGCUGCUUGUUCCAGGGUUGCCAGGUUUUCAGAACAAAGCCCGUCAAUUUGCCACUCAAAACUAGCCCAAUGUUUUUCGAAGGGGUCCCCGGUAAAAAUUGCAUUCAGGGGGGUAAAAUACACAUUUUUUUGGUGGGUUUCAUUGUUGGGGUCACUUUAACCUGCGGCAACAGUGUUAAAGUAGCCCAAUUCCGUGGGAAAACAGCAGACUUGGCAACACUGAUUGUUCCAAUUUCGGACCCUUCAAAACAAGAUUCCUCUCAUACUGAUGUGUAUUUAUCAAUGGCAAUCAAAUAUUUUAGACUUUUAAAAAUGGUUUCAGAAGGUGUUUUCACAGCGAUGCCAUAGAUAGAAGAACCAUUCUGCAAACAGUUCUGAACAUUAUAAUAAUCUGAAGAAUAUUUUUCCACUAUAAAGAACCUUUUGUGCAAUGGAAAGUUCCAUGGAUGAUAAAGGUUCUUCAGGGAGCCAUCAAUGCCAA
ensembl:lncRNA